rnacentral:tRNA from 1 species
UCCCAGGUAGCUCAGCUGGUAAAGAAUCCACCUGCAAAGCAGAAGACCCAGGUUCAAUUCCUGGACUGGGAA